rnacentral:rRNA from 1 species
CCUUCAUGAAGCUGGAAUUGCUAGUAAUGGCAGGUCAGCAUACUGCCGUGAAUACGUUCCCGGGCCUUGUACACACCGCCCGUCACACCAUGGGAGCUGGUAACACCCGAAGUCAGUAGUCUAACCGCAAGGAGGACGCUGCCGAAGGUGGGAUUAGCGACUGGGGUGAAGUCGUAACAAGGUACC